UGGGGAAUAUUGGACAAUGGGCGGAAGCCUGAUCCAGCCAUGCCGCGUGUGUGAAGAAGGCCUUUUGGUUGUAAAGCACUUUAAGCGAGGAGGAGGCUACUUGGACUAAUACUCUAGGAUAGUGGACGUUACUCGCAGAAUAAGCACCGGCUAACUCUGUGCCAGCAGCCGCGGUAAUACAGAGGGUGCGAGCGUUAAUCGGAUUUACUGGGCGUAAAGCGUGCGUAGGCGGCUUCUUAAGUCGGAUGUGAAAUCCCUGAGCUUAACUUAGGAAUUGCAUUCGAUACUGGGAAGCUAGAGUAUGGGAGAGGAUGGUAGAAUUCCAGGUGUAGCGGUGAAAUGCGUAGAGAUCUGGAGGAAUACCGAUGGCGAAGGCGGCCAUCUGGCCUAAUACUGACGCUGAGGUACGAAAGCAUGGGGAGCAAACAGG
rnacentral:rRNA from 1 species